rnacentral:rRNA from 1 species
UCUACGGGAGGCAGCAGUGGGGAAUAUUGGACAAUGGGCGAAAGCCUGAUCCAGCCAUGCCGCGUGUGUGAAGAAGGUCUUCGGAUUGUAAAGCACUUUAAGUUGGGAGGAAGGGCAUUAACCUAAUACGUUAGUGUUUUGACGUUACCGACAGAAUAAGCACCGGCUAACUCUGUGCCAGCAGCCGCGGUAAUA